GGAUUAGUGGCGAACGGGUGAGGAACACGUGAGAAACCUGCCUUUCAUUCUGGGAUAACACCGGGAAACCGGCGCUAAUACCGAAUAUUGAAACAUAAGCGGCAUCGCCGAGCUGGGAAAAAAUUUUGAUGAAAGAUGGUCUCGCGGCCUAUCAGCUAGUUGGUGAGGUAAAGGCUCACCAAGGCGACGACGGGUAGCCGGCCUGAGAGGGCGACCGGCCACACUGGGACUGAGACACGGCCCAGACUCC
rnacentral:rRNA from 1 species